rnacentral:tRNA from 1 species
UCCCGUGUGGCUCAGCUGGUAGAGCAUGGUGUUUGCAACGCCAGGGUUGUGGGUUUGAUUCCCAAGGGGG